UGUAAAAUAAAUUUAAUUUAUACCAAAGAUAGAUAUGAUUUUUGGGGAUAGAGGGCCAGGGUAGAGCUUGGCUCUCUAAAAGGGAUGCUCUACGGAGUUGCUAGUUUUAAGUAAAUUUAGAUAGGCUUUAAUAGUAGCCACCCUGUUAAAGUGUUUCAACUAAGAUUCAAUUAGAUAUUAUUUAUUUAAUUCCUAGAGAUGAGUACCGAAAAAUUCUUUAUAGCUUUUUAGAACAAGCUCUUAUGAAAUUAUUAGUAAAAAUUUUUAUUAUAUAGAUCUAUAUCUCUUUAUUACAAGAUUUACAUAAAUCUAAAUUUAUUUAAGGAACUCGGCAAAACUAUUCUCGCCUGUUUAACAAAAACAUGUCCAAAUGAAGAAAUAUUUGGUCUAAUCUGCCCGGUGAUUUUUUUAACGGCCGCGGUACUUCUGACUGUGCCAAGGUAGCA
rnacentral:rRNA from 1 species